GCACCUCAACUCUCAUGGCUUUGCCCAUGAUGAGCUUGGACUUUGGGGGUCUUUGCUGGCUUACGGUCGGCUCCUCUCAAACGAAUCAGCUUGCCAGUGUUUGGUGGCAUCACAGGUGUGAUAACUAUCUGCGCUUGUGGUUUUCCACUAGAUAACCUUCAGUGAUGGAGGUUCGCUGGAGCUCAUAAACGUCUCUCCUCAGCGAGGACAGCACUUUGACU
rnacentral:misc_RNA from 1 species